AUGCAUCCCAAGGCUCGCAUCCACGCGGACCCAGCAGCUCCGGAGCUGGACCGGAUUGACUGCCUGCCGGACUCACUCCUCCUGCUUAUCCUCAACAAGUUGGAGGACGUGCACUCGCUCGGCCGCUGCGCCGCCGUGUCCAAGCGCUUCAACGACCUGGUCCCACUCGUCCACGACAUGUUCCACUUCUUGGUGGAGCAAUGUGCGCAUGCACCUGGCAGUUGCAUUCCCUUUGCUACUAAUCAUCGAUAUCAGGUACACCGCAGGACUCAACCGUACCGUACGCCGGGCGUUGUCAUGCUACUAACUGCCAGGCCACCGACGCUGGCGCCGACCCCGACCAGAGAUCCGCUACCGCCCAGGACCCCAAGCUGCUGGACGACUUCGAAGACGCCGAAGCCGACACCAAAGCAUCUUUCGUACAUUGAGCAACAACGGCGAAUUCGAGUGGAUGAUGGAAGGCCUCAGUUUGGGGCCAAGAAAAGGCGUGGACGAGGCCAUUUCGCAAGGCCGCCUGCAAAUUGCUGGACGCAACAUCAAUGUAGCUCUGAUCCAGAACCUGGUUCUUGGAUGCAACACACAUUGUCCUGGAUAGAUCAGGAUGUGGCUGAGGUGGCUGCUGUUGGGACCAUGAUUAGAAGAAGGCUGGAGAUGUGCACAAUAGUUUUAGUUGAUGUUGCCACCAUAUUUUCGUGCAUGUGUAUUUCUUUUUGA
rnacentral:rRNA from 1 species